AAAAAGGUUGAAUCAAAUAGAAACUUGGGGUGUCUCAGAAAUUUCAACCUAAAUUUGGCUCUUUAACCCCAUAGGUUUUAGAUGUUACCAUAGUAGUACCUCGCAAAUACUUUGACCACAAAGUUAAAACUAUACAACCAGCAGUUCCUGAGAUAUGAAAUAAUGUCCACAAAAGCACAAAUGGAGGGACAGACAGACAAACAGACUACAUAAAAA